rnacentral:rRNA from 1 species
UGAGGAAUAUUGGUCAAUGGACGGAAGUCUGAACCAGCCAAGUAGCGUGCAGGAUGACGGCCCUAUGGGUUGUAAACUGCUUUUGUAUGGGGAUAAAGUUAGGGACGUGUCCCUAUUUGCAGGUACCAUACGAAUAAGGACCGGCUAAUUCCGUGCCAGCAGCCGCGGUAAUACGGAAGGUCCAGGCGUUAUCCGGAUUUAUUGGGUUUAAAGGGAGCGUAGGCUGGAGAUUAAGUGUGUUGUGAAAUGUAGACGCUCAACGUCUGAAUUGCAGCGCAUACUGGUUUCCUUGAGUACGCACAACGUUGGCGGAAUUCGUCGUGUAGCGGUGAAAUGCUUAGAUAUGACGAAGAACUCCGAUUGCGAAGGCAGCUGACGGGAGCGCAACUGACGCUUAAGCUCGAAGGUGCGGGUAUCAAACAGGAUUAGAUACCCUGGUAGUCCGCACAGUAAACGAUGGAUGCCCGUUGUUAGUUCACUUAAGAAUUAGCGACCAAGCGAAAGCAUUAAGCAUCCCACCUGGGGAGUACGCCGGCAACGGUG